rnacentral:rRNA from 1 species
UUUUUUUUUCUCUGCUCAGAUUGAACGCUGGCGGCAGGCCUAACACAUGCAAGUCGAGCGGUAGCACAGAGAGCUUGCUCUCGGGUGACGAGCGGCGGACGGGUGAGUAAUGUCUGGGAAACUGCCUGAUGGAGGGGGAUAACUACUGGAAACGGUAGCUAAUACCGCAUAACGUCGCAAGACCAAAGAGGGGGACCUUCGGGCCUCUUGCCAUCAGAUGUGCCCAGAUGGGAUUAGCUAGUAGGUGGGGUAACGGCUCACCUAGGCGACGAUCCCUAGCUGGUCUGAGAGGAUGACCAGCCACACUGGAACUGAGACACGGUCCAGACUCCUACGGGAGGCAGCAGUGGGGAAUAUUGCACAAUGGGCGCAAGCCUGAUGCAGCCAUGCCGCGUGUAUGAAGAAGGCCUUCGGGUUGUAAAGUACUUUCAGCGGGGAGGAAGGCGAUAAGGUUAAUAACCUUGUCGAUUGACGUUACCCGCAGAAGAAGCACCGGCUAACUCCGUGCCAGCAGCCGCGGUAAUACGGAGGGUGCAAGCGUUAAUCGGAAUUACUGGGCGUAAAGCGCACGCAGGCGGUCUGUCAAGUCGGAUGUGAAAUCCCCGGGCUCAACCUGGGAACUGCAUUCGAAACUGGCAGGCUAGAGUCUUGUAGAGGGGGGUAGAAUUCCAGGUGUAGCGGUGAAAUGCGUAGAGAUCUGGAGGAAUACCGGUGGCGAAGGCGGCCCCCUGGACAAAGACUGACGCUCAGGUGCGAAAGCGUGGGGAGCAAACAGGAUUAGAUACCCUGGUAGUCCACGCCGUAAACGAUGUCGACUUGGAGGUUGUGCCCUUGAGGCGUGGCUUCCGGAGCUAACGACGUUAAGUCGACCGCCUGGGGAGUACGGCCGCAAGGUUAAAACUCAAAUGAAUUGACGGGGGCCCGCACAAGCGGUGGAGCAUGUGGUUUAAUUCGAUGCAACGCGAAGAACCUUACCUACUCUUGACAUCCAGAGAACUUAGCAGAGAUGCUUUGGUGCCUUCGGGAACUCUGAGACAGGUGCUGCAUGGCUGUCGUCAGCUCGUGUUGUGAAAUGUUGGGUUAAGUCCCGCAACGAGCGCAACCCUUAUCCUUUGUUGCCAGCGGUUAGGCCGGGAACUCAAAGGAGACUGCCAGUGAUAAACUGGAGGAAGGUGGGGAUGACGUCAAGUCAUCAUGGCCCUUACGAGUAGGGCUACACACGUGCUACAAUGGCGCAUACAAAGAGAAGCGACCUCGCGAGAGCAAGCGGACCUCAUAAAGUGCGUCGUAGUCCGGAUUGGAGUCUGCAACUCGACUCCAUGAAGUCGGAAUCGCUAGUAAUCGUAGAUCAGAAUGCUACGGUGAAUACGUUCCCGGGCCUUGUACACACCGCCCGUCACACCAUGGGAGUGGGUUGCAAAAGAAGUAGGUAGCUUAACCUUCGGGAGGGCGCUUACCACUUUGUGAUUCAUGACUGGGGUGAAGUCGUACAAAGG